GGUCUAACAGCCCCCAUGGUGAGCAGCUAAUUAGUUCCCUCUGGCUAAGCGCUGUGAUCAAUGGAAGUCUGCGGGCUAGCUCGGACAUGCCCCCCCAAGGAGGGGGGGUGGUCUAUAUAGGGCCAUGACCGUGGGAGAGGUGGUCUAUGUAGGGCCAUGACCCUGGGAGAGGUGGUCUAUGAAGGGCCAUGACCCUGGGAGAGGUGGUCUAUGUAGGGCCAUGACCCUGGGAGAGGUGGUCUAUGUAGGGCCAUGACCCUGGGAGAGGUGGUCUAUGAAGGGCCAUAACCCUGGGAGAGGUGGUCUAUGAAGGGCCAUGACCGUGGGAGAGGUGGUCUAUGAAGGGCCAUGACCGUGGGAGAGGUGGUCUAUGUAAGGCCAUGACCCUGGGAGAGGUGGUCUAUGAAGGGCCAUGACCCUGGGAGAGGUGGUCUAUGAAGGGCCAUGACCCUGGGAGAGGUGGUCUAUGAAGGGCCAUGACAAUGGGAGAGGUGGUCUAUGAAGGGCCAUGACCCUGGGAGAGGUGGUCUAUGAAGGGCCAUGACCCUGGGAGAGGUGGUCUAUGAAGGGCCAUGACCCUGGGAGAGGUGGUCUAUGAAGGGCCAUGACCCUGGGAGAGGUGGUCUAUGAAGGGCCAUGACCCUGGGAGAGGUGGUCUAUGUAGGGCCAUGACCCUGGGAGAGGUGGUCUAUGUAGGGCCAUGACCCUGGGAGAGGUGGUCU